GGUUGUAUGGAGUAGUUGGUUAACUUAGGAGAUUCUGAUCGAGCGCCUCUGCAGGUGCCGGGUUCGAUUCGACUUCUCUUGCCCUGGGUUCGAAUCCCAGUACGACCU
rnacentral:tRNA from 1 species